UUUACAUUACCUCCGUCUCAAAAAAUUUGUCUUAAAUUUUUCUAGAUGCGGAUGUAUCUAACUUUAAAGCGUGACUAGAUACAUCCUUAUCUAGACAAAUCUAAGACAAAAAAUUUAGGACGGAUGGAGUAUUUG
rfam:Triticum aestivum genome assembly, contig: Triticum_aestivum_CS42_TGACv1_scaffold_602671_7DL